UGUAGUUCAGUGCCUCAGGCGUUUGAUGGGCGAACCUCUCUAUUGUUCAGCUGCCUAUGCUGGCGGGUGGGGAGAGGGAGGCUAUGGUGAUGGCUCCACCCACUACGUGUGACUCAGCAGUACUGCCUUGCUUCCAAGGCUGUCCGGCUUUCUUCCACUGGCAUUUCCCACCAUGAUCUCCUCCCUCACAUCCUCUCAAUUUCUCUCUCUGCAGUCAACAGCAGCCCUCACCGCCAGACUGCUCCCCCAUCCCCAAAUUCCAGCUUCCAGCUGCUGAGCCUUCCAGGGGACCAGCGUUCCUGUCCAGGAUUUAGCCAACUCAUUAAUACCUGGGAAGCAAGAAGCAAGUGUCUCAGCUCAGUGCAGACCUGGAACUAAGAACAACAGGCCAACAGUCAAUGUCCACCUGACAAGGGGAGCCAACCUUCCAUACGAUCCUGAUAUGUGAGCUUCGUGGAUAUCCUGAUGUCCACACAGAGAUCCCAGAAAAUUCCAGAAGCCCUAUUGGAAAUUAACUGGAUCAGCUUUGAAUCUAUUAUCUGAUGGGACCUGAUACCCUGAAAGUAUAUUGUAUCAUGUACUGAAGCACUAUUACCUUCCUCAUUGAAUGCUCAGAAAUGGGUGAAAAGCAGCUACUAUGAUCUCAGAAACUGAGGAAAGCUUCAGGGCUGUUCUCAUAGUUCUGACAUGAGAGAAACAGACCCAGCCCAUUCAUUCUGUUAGACACAAGACAGGAAAUGAUCUUUUUGUAAGUACGCCGAGAAUUGUUAGGGAAAGAUGAGAUCAAGAAGGAAGGUCACAGUCACUCUACAAACAGUUGUAGCAUCAACAAAUCAGCAAAUAAUUUGAGAAAACCAAUGUGAUUUAUGAUUAAUAAUCCUAAAAAUCUGUAAUAGGUAUAGAUAGACACAGAUAUAGAUAUAUACACAUACACACAAGGCCUAAUGCAGGUAGAAUUGAGACAAACAUAUGACUAUUAUCAACAGUUAGUUAAAAAAUAACGUGACAAGUCCAUUGCUACUACUGCUACUUCAGUGUCAUGGGCAGGGUAAAAGAAAGAAAUACUCAUGUGUCAAUUACUGUGUUCUCAUCAGUGCUAUCAUCUUUGAUCUUCAUUCCAAAAAUAGCAAGGAGUGAUCAUCAUAAUCACAAAACAAUACCAUAGGACAUUAUGAAAUUUAAAAUAGUUUCCUACGUGUUGUUUCAUCUCAUGAUUGCCCUGUGAGAAAAGCAGGCUGUUAGGACAGACAUGGUAGUAUUAAGAAGAGGAAGCAUGGAAAAGAAAGGAAGGGCAGAAAGGGAGAAAGGGAAGGAAGAGAGAAAGGAGGAAGGGAGGGAAGUUGCCUCCCAGGUCUUCCUGCAAUUGGAUAUCAGUCUCGAUUCUAAUAAUAUCUCCUAACAAGUGUUCCAGAGAUUAAGAACUGCAUAGUUCUUUGAAAUUCAUGAUACCAAUUGCUCUACAAAUUCUAAGUAGUAAUAUCAUCAUCAUCAAUCUUAGCUAUAAAAUUUCUCAUAAACCCAUGUAUUAAGUGGGGAAACUUCAGAAAAAAACAACAGUAAGAGCAAAGUUAAGCACAAAGUCAAGAAAGUUGGUUAAGGAAGGAAAAAAAGCAACAAGCACUAACUUUCCCCACAAGCCUCAUAAUCUUUCUCUGGGAGGCACUCGGCAGCCAAGCAGUAAGCUUCCAUGAAGCACAGGGUGCGUAAAGAGACCCAGAGACCAGCCCUUCGAAGGGAAAUCCCUCCCAUUUUGUCCUCAGUUCAACUCCCAAGAUUCCCAGGCUCACUGUGUGAGUCACACUGCAAUUGCCUAGGACAGGCAUCUGCACGGAUGCCCUCUGCUUCAGCAGGGAAUUGCAAGCUCCCGCCUGCCUGUAAUAAGGGGGAAAAUCAGGGCAAUAAUGUGACCGGAUGCUGGAAAUCUGGCAGCCAGAGAAAACAGUAGUGUAUUUGGCAAAUUUUCUUUUGCAGGGCUUUUUACUGUA
ensembl:lncRNA